AGCGAACGCUGGCGGCAGGCCUAACACAUGCAAGUCGAGCGCCCAGCAAUGGGAGCGGCAGACGGGAGAGUAACACGUGGGAACGUGCCCUUUGGUUCGGAAUAACUCAGGGAAACUUGAGCUAAUACCGGAUAAGCCCUUACGGGGAAAGAUUUAUUGCCAAAGGAGCGGCCCGCGUCCGAUUAGCUAGUUGGUGAGGUAAUGGCUCACCAAGGCGACGAUCGGUAGCUGGUCNGAGAGGAUGACCA
rnacentral:rRNA from 1 species